CGCAGGGCUUCAUUAAACUUCAGUCUAAAUUGCUUCAGUGCCUCCUCGUCUGUUUUCCCAAGAGCCAAGGAAUCCUGAAGGCUGUUCUACAAGGUACCUACUGCCCCAUUUCCUGAGCACCAGUCUCUGGCAUUGCUGCUGUCCUGCACGUAAACGAUGCACAUCUACAUGUGAUUUCUGGAGCUCAUUUGCUUCACAGAAUUUGCCCUCACACCCUGAACUCCUCCUCCCUGAGCUACAAGAUCAGGUGUGGCAUGAUUCCCUCCGCCCCUUUUCCAGCUGCCACCACACUGACUGUCCCUGGACAAAGUAACAGGACCAAGGGGAAGACUGAAGUUUGGAUCCAGCCUGUGGAUAAAACUACCUUAAGCUGUCAAGGAUCAAAAAAAGCUUGCAAACAGUAACCCAGAUGCCUCCAUUUCUGCUCAAAACGCAGCCAGAUCCACUUGAUGCCUUCCAGUGUGCCAGGCAGUGAAGCAGCCAUAGAUACUGUGGGACAGCUUGGAAAUAUGAAUAACUGAAGGAAAAAAAUUGAGUAAAGCAGAAGAAAUGUCUGCAGCUGGAAGGAAGCAGUAGAGCAGCACAGAGUAAAGGUAAACCACUUACCCAGGGUUCUUGGAUUUCAGCCAGUUGAGCAGGGCAUCCUUGUUGAAGGCUGCAGUGGCCACCAUGUUGCUCUUGUUCAGCUGGAUGUUGGCAAUGGUGUCUGAAUGCAUGACCACUUCUAUCAGUCCAGUCUUGUCUCCUGUGGAGAGGCAGCCAUAAGGGGUCAUCCUGCAGAGAUGAAAGAAACCCUUCCACUGAAAUCUUGCCCAGAAUGGGGUUGUGUUGACUUUUGAACUCCCUCUCUCAUCUGCCACAUCUGCUCAGUACCACAAACCCUGACUAGCUGCUCACAGAAUACUAGACAGAUGCCUUGGGGACAAAAUGGCCUUAGCACCCAUGAUUUAUCACUGCAGUAAGACAACUGUGUGCACAUUACUCACCUCAGGUCCAGGCCCUCCUGCUUCCACAGGAUGUCCAUCAACUGGAUCAUCUGCAGAGUGAGCAUGUCCUGACGAAGAUCUGUGCAGCAUUACAAAGGAAAGGAGGGUCAGAAGUGUCCCUUGUGUUCUGCCCCUGGAGCAGAGGCUGCUAGAGGGGCCUUUGCAAACAUCAGCACAGAGCAGUGGUUACCAGUGCAGCACUGGGGUACAGCCACCACAAUAGAUACCUCAGGUGUGAUUAUAUUAGCAGGUACAUGCUACUUCAUUUUUACAAAACUCCUCCCAUAGCAGCUAAGGUAGCACUUCAGAAAAUAUCUGUCUGGACACAAGAGUGUCCACUCCAGCCCUACAAACCUUGCAAUGCUGUAGCUCUUUCAAAGCCCACAUCAAGUUUCUUUUUACUGUUCAAGCAUAUCCAGCUACUACUGUGCUAAAAUCUUAAUGAAAAGCAAGUGAAAUAUAGAGGAGCAUUUCUUGUAUCUCUAGAUUACUGUCAAAAAACCUCAAAGCACAUUGAUGGUCUUCACACAGCAUCUUAAUGGUCCAUAUUUAGGCCCACUCACCACAAUAAAUCUUUGAGACUCUGCAAA